CACGUAGGUGGCAAGCGUUGUCCGGAAUUAUUGGGCGUAAAGCGCGCGCAGGCGGCCUCUUAAGUCUGAUGUGAAAGCCCCCGGCUCAACCGGGGAGGGCCAUUGGAAACUGGGAGGCUUGAGUAUAGGAGAGAAGAGUGGAAUUCCACGUGUAGCGGUGAAAUGCGUAGAGAUGUGGAGGAACACCAGUGGCGAAGGCGACUCUUUGGCCUAUAACUGACGCUGAGGCGCGAAAGCGUGGGGGAGCAAACAGG
rnacentral:rRNA from 1 species